rnacentral:miRNA from 1 species
AUUUGGGGACGGGAGGGAGGAU